rnacentral:rRNA from 1 species
UGGGGAAUAUUGCACAAUGGGGAAACCCUGAUGCAGCGACGCCGCGUGAACGAAGAAGGUAUUCGUAUCGUAAAGUUCUGUCCUAUGGGAAGAUAAUGACAGUACCAUAGAAGAAAGCUCCGGCUAAAUACGUGCCAGCAGCCGCGGUAAUACGUAUGGAGCGAGCGUUGUCCGGGAUUAUUGGGCGUAAAGGGUACGCAGGCGGUUUAAUAAGUCGAAUGUUAAAGAUCGGGGCUCAACCCCGCAAAGCAUUGGAAACUGAUAAACUUGAGUAGUGGAGAGGAAAGUGGAAUUCCUAGUGUAGAGGUGAAAUACGUAGAUAUUAGGAGGAAUACCAGUGGCGAAGGCGACUUUCUGGACACAAACUGACGCUGAGGUACGAAAGCGUGGGGAGCAAACAGG